rnacentral:tRNA from 17 species
UUGAUAGCUCAGUUGGGAGAGCGUCAGACUGAAGAUCUGAAGGUCCUGUGUUCGAUUCACA